UACUGAUACACUACUGAUGCUGAACUGGUUACUGUCAUAGUACUGGAGGUGUACCAGUUACUGUCAUAGUACUGGAGGUGUACAGGAUACUGAUACACUACUGAUGCUGAACUGGUUACUGUCAUAGUACUGGAGGUGUACCAGUUACUGUCAUAGUACUGGAGGUGUACAGGAUACUGAUACACUACUGAUGCUGAACUGGUUACUGUCAUAGUACUGGAGGUGUACAGGAUACUGAUACACUACUGAUGCUGAACUGGUUACUGUCAUAGUACUGGAGGUGUACCAGUUACUGUCAUAGUACUGGAGGUGUACAGGAUACUGAUACACUACUGAUGCUGAACUGGUUACUGUCAUAGUACUGGAGGUGUACCAGUUACUGUCAUAGUACUGGAGGUGUACCAGUUACUGUCAUAGUACUGGAGGUGUACCAGUUACUGUCAUAGUACUGGAGGUGUACCAGUUACUGUCAUAGUACUGGAGGUGUACAGGAUACUGAUACACUACUGAUGCUGAACUGGUUACUGUCAUAGUACUGGAGGUGUACCAGUUACUGUCAUAGUACUGGAGGUGUACAGGAUACUGAUACACUACUGAUGCUGAACUGGUUACUGUCAUAGUACUGGAGGUGUACCAGUUACUGUCAUAGUACUGGAGGUGUACCAGUUACUGUCAUAGUACUGGAGGUGUACAGGAUACUGAUACACUACUGAUGCUGAACUGGUUACUGUCAUAGUACUGGAGGUGUACCAGUUACUGUCAUAGUACUGGAGGUGUACCAGUUACUGUCAUAGUACUGGAGGUGUACAGGAUACUGAUACACUACUGAUGCUGAACUGGUUACUGUCAUAGUACUGGAGGUGUACCAGUUACUGUCAUAGUACUGGAGGUGUACCAGUUACUGUCAUAGUACUGGAGGUGUACAGGAUACUGAUACACUACUGAUGCUGAACUGGUUACUGUCAUAGUACUGGAGGUGUACCAGUUACUGUCAUAGUACUC
rnacentral:lncRNA from 1 species